rnacentral:lncRNA from 1 species
AGACUCAGCAUAUUCUGGAAGAUGGAGGCUUGUUGAAUUGCCUAAUAUACGAUGGAUAUGUCAAUCAUCCUACCACUAUUUAUAUAUUUGACUGAACAUACUCCAGGAUGUAUGGUUUUGGUCAAGGGAUAGAUAUGAGGAAAAGCAGGAAAUAGGGAUGGAACUUCCCAGGAUCUUCAAAUGCUGGUGUUUGACAGCAAGGAACUUUUCCAACGUGUUACACACAAAAUGAAACUGUUAGGGGCUUGUUUGGUUUGCUUUUCAUUUCUCCCUCCUUCUCUCAUUUCCAGAGUUGCUAUUAGCCUUGAUUCUCUCACAUGCUAGAGAGAAGGAGGAUAUCAAUACCAAAAAUCAAGGUUGAAGCCCAGUCUUCAAUGUGUGGGUCUUACCUGUUAUUUUUUAUUUAGUUUUUUGAAUGAUGACAGCAAUA